UUUGAACGCUGGCGGCAGGCUUAACACAUGCAAGUCGAGCGGAGAUGAGGUGCUUGCAGCUUAUCUUAGCGGCGGACGGGUGAGUAAUGCUUAGGAAUCUGCCUAUUAGUGGGGGACAACAUUCCGAAAGGAAUGCUAAUACCGCAUACGCCCUACGGGGGAAAGCAGGGGAUCUUCGGACCUUGCGCUAAUAGAUGAGCCUAAGUCGGAUUAGCUAGUUGGGUGGGUAAAGGCCGACCAAGGCGACGAUCUGUAGCGGGUCUGAGUGGAUGGUGCGCCACCCUGGGACUGAGACACGGCCCAGACUCCGACGGGAGGCAGCCGUGGGGAACAUUGGACAAUGGGCGGAAGCCUGAUCCAGCCAUGCCGCGUGUGUGAAGAAGGCCUUUUGGUUGUAAAGCACUUUAAGCGAGGAGGAGGCUACCUGGAUUAAUACUCUAGGAUAGUGGACGUUACUCGCAGAAUAAGCACCGGCUAACUCUGUGCCAGCAGCCGCGGUA
rnacentral:rRNA from 1 species